GUCCAGACUCCUACGGGAGGCAGCAGUGGGGAAUAUUGCACAAUGGGGGGAACCCUGAUGCAGCAACGCCGCGUGGGUGAAGAAGUACUUCGGUAUGUAAAGCCCUGUCAGCAGGGAAGAAAAUGACGGUACCUGACCAAGAAGCCCCGGCUAACUACGUGCCAGCAGCCGCGGGAAUACGUAGGGGGCAAGCGUUAUCCGGAUUUACUGGGUGUAAAGGGAGCGUAGACGGCAAGGCAAGUCUGGAGUGAAAGCCCGUGGCUCAACCACGGGACUGCUUUGGAAACUGUGUUGCUGGAGUGCAGGAGGGGUAAGCGGAAUUCCUAGUGUAGCGGUGAAAUGCGUAGAUAUUAGGAGGAACACCAGUGGCGAAGGCGGCUUGCUGGACAGUAACUGACGUUGAGGCUCGAAAGCGUGGGGAGCAAACAGGAUUAGAUCCCCCGGUA
rnacentral:rRNA from 1 species